UACGUAGGUGGCGAGCGUUGUCCGGAAUUACUGGGCGUAAAGGGCGCGUAGGUGGGUUUGUAAGUCAGAGGUGAAAUCCUGCAGCUUAACUGUAGAACUGCCUCUGAUACUGCAAAUCUUGAGUUCAGAAGAGAGAAGCGGAAUUCCAGGUGUAGUAGUGAAAUACGUAGAUAUCUGGAAGAACACCAGUGGCGAAGGCGGCUUCUUGGUCUGUAACUGACACUGAGGCGCGAAAGCGUGGGGAGCAAACAGGAUUAGAUACCCUAGUAGU
rnacentral:rRNA from 1 species